GAGUCCCUGUCUCAACAUUUUGAGAAGGGCUAGGAGUGUGAGGGCCUGGGCUCUGCCUGUCCCAGCAUAACCUCUGCUGUGGCAUAGACCUCAGAACUCUCCCAGCCAACAGCCCCCACUGACCUUGGGGUGCCUGUCUCGCCCACAGAAAUCCUGAUCAAGGUGCAGGUAUAUGCGAGUGGAGAGCUGGUGCCCCUCGCCCGGGCCUCAGUGGAUGUGUUUGGGAACCGCACGCUGCUGGCCACUGGCACCACAGACUCUGAUGGCGUGGCCACCCUGCCACUCAGUUACCACCUGGGCACCUGGGUGCUGGUCACUGCUGCCCGCCCUGGCUUCCUCACCAACUCGGUGCCCUGGCGCGUGGACAGGCUGCCCUUGUACGCAGCCGUCAGCCUCUGCCUGCUCCCUGAGCGGCCUGCCACCCUCAUCCUCUACGAGGACCUGGUGCACAUCCUGCUCGGCUCCCCCGCCCAGCUCCUUAGUCACAGUGGCAACAUUCCCAGUACUGAGCAGUCCGAGUACCGAUCCCUUCAGCCCUCAAAGCAUCAGCGCUUGCCGGUCCCGCCGGGCUGGGAUCUGGAAGGAGAGUGGGUGCCGUCUGCCUUGGUGCUGUCCAGACCCGAGACUCCUCCGUGCAUACCCUGAGGCGCAGGCGGUGUUAGCGGGAGCGGGCCCAUGGCCCUGCUCUGGCCGCCCGGUGUCCCUAGGACCUU